GAGUUUGAUCCUGGCUCAGGAUGAACGCUGGCGGUGUGCCUAAUGCAUGCAAGUCGAACGAAUCGCAAGAUAAGUGGCGAACGGGGUGAGUAACGCGUAGGGAGUCUGCCUUAGAGUCUCGUAUAGCCUGCCGAAAGGCGGGGUAAUCCGGGAUAGUCCCGCAAGGGUAAAGGAGUAAUCCGCUUUAAGAGGAACCUGCGUCCUAUCAGCUAGUUGGUGAGGUAAUGGCUUACCAAGGCAGUGACGGGUAGCUGGACUGAGAGGUUGGACCAGCCACAAUGGGACUGAGACACGGCCCAUACUCCUACGGGAGGCAGCAGCAGGGAAUUUUGCGCAAUGGGCGAAAGCCUGACGCAGCGACACCGCGUGGAGGAUUGAAGGUCUUCGGAUCGUAAACUCCUUUUAAU
rnacentral:rRNA from 1 species